GAUAUUAUUACUAGUGCCAAGGAAUAAUGUGCCUUUUAGCAGGCUAUCUCUGCUCCUUAUACCCUUCGAGCUUCCACUCUAAUGGCUACCUCUCCUCUCUCCAUUCCUCUCAAUGUUAUCAACUCUCAUCAUGCCAUUGCCAACCCCUUUGUUCCAGAGGUUGUAACAGCAGUAGAUGCCUUACAUUUAGAGUUUAGGGCUGUGGAUAAUUUGGUUGCCUGCAAUACCACUCGUGUCCUUAGAGCUUUUCAGAAUGCUCGAGUUGGAUCUCAUCACUUUGGUGGUAGCACUGGUUAUGGUCAUGAUGAAGCUGGGGGUCGAGGAGCUCUUGACCAGGCUUUUGCAGAAAUUGUUGGGGCUGAGUCAGCUAUUGUUCGUUCACAGUUCUUCUCAGGUACUCAUGCUAUCACAUGUGCUUUAUUUGCUCUCCUGAGGCCUGGAGAUGAGCUUUUGGCAGUUGCUGGAGCUCCCUAUGACACACUAGAGGAAGUAAUUGGGAAAAGGGACUCUGGUGGACUGGGUUCUCUCCAAGAUUUCGGGGUGAAGUACCGAGAAGUUCCGCUUGCUGAGGAUGGUGGACUUGAUUGGAAUUCGCUGAUGAGUGCUGUCAAACCCAAAACAAAAUGUGCCCUCAUACAACGGUCAUGUGGUUAUUCAUGGCGCCGGAGUUUGAGUGUCAAUGACAUAGCAAGAGCAAUAAAAAUAAUCAAGGUGCAAAAUCCCAGCUGCUCAGUCAUGGUGGACAAUUGCUAUGGUGAAUUUGUUGAAAGCAUUGAACCUCCCAUGGUGGGUGCAGAUUUGAUUGCAGGCAGUUUGAUCAAGAAUCCAGGUGGAACAAUUGCACCAUGUGGGGGAUAUGUUGCUGGGAAGCAAAAAUGGGUUGAAGCAGCUGCAGCUCGUCUUUCUGCACCUGGACUUGGCUUGGAUUGUGGCGCAAUUCCGGGUGAUAUCAUGCGAGCCUUUUUCCAGGGAUUAUUUCUUUCACCUCAAAUGGUUGGGGAAGCAAUCAAGGGUUCCUUCCUGAUUGCUGAAGUGUUGGCAUCUAAAGGAUAUAAAGUGCAGCCACUCCCCCGUGUCCCCCGUUCUGAUACAGUUCAGGCUGUCCAGCUAGGAAGUCGUGAGCGUCUCCUUGCAUUCUGUGAGGCUGUUCAGAGAAGCUCUCCAGUCGGUUCAUAUACCAAACCAGUUGCAGGCACCACUGCCGGAUAUGCAUCAGAGGUCUACUCAGAUUUGUCUCCACAAUCUACACCCAAAUCUAUAAUCUUUUGUGAUCUUUGCUGAUGGAACUUUCAUUGAUGGAAGUACAAGUGAGCUUUCGUGUGAUGGUCCUCUUAGAGAGCCUUUUGCUGUAUUUUGUCAAGGUGGCACCCAUUGGACUCAGUGGGGAUUAGUCCUUGGAGAAGUUUUGAAAUCUCUUUGACAGAAUCAUUUUUGAGAGAGUAAGUUCAUACAAAAUUUCAGUAUUCAAUCACACUUCACGAACACCAGUUAAAAUUUAUAUAUACCCUCACUGGUAGAAUUUGUAGCUAGUGUUUAGCUAGUUUAUCGCACUCUUCAUUCUGUUUGAAGGAAGUUUUCGGGGAUCAGAUUUUGAUGCUUUGUAGUUUGUACUUAGUUGAUCAAUCUUGUCAAGACUUGUAGAAAUUCAACACAAGUAAUUUCUCAUAUUUGUAUGUGUAAUCUUUAGUAAUUCAACUUUCAUUUUUUGUUUU